AGAGUUUGAUCCUGGCUCAGAUUGAACGCUGGCGGCAUGCCUUACACAUGCAAGUCGAACGGCAGCAUGGAGAGCUUGCUCUCUGAUGGCGAGUGGCGAACGGGUGAGUAAUACAUCGGAACGUGUCCGUUUGUGGGGGACAACCGUCCGAAAGGAUGGCUAAUACCGCAUAAGACCUGAGGGUGAAAGCCGGGGACCGCAAGGCCCGGCGCAGACGGAGCGGCCGAUGAUUGAUUAGCUAGUUGGGGAGGUAAAGGCUCACCAAGGCGACGAUCAAUAGCUGGUCUGAGAGGACGACCAGCCACACUGGAACUGAGACACGGUCCAGACUCCUACGGGAGGCAGCAGUGGGGAAUUUUGGACAAUGGGGGCAACCCUGAUCCAGCCAUGCCGCGUGCGGGAAGAAGGCCUUCGGGUUGUAAACCGCUUUUGUCAGGGACGAAAAGCUCCGGAGUAAUAUGCCGGAGUGCUGACGGUACCUGAAGAAUAAGCACCGGCUAACUACGUGCCAGCAGCCGCGGUAAUACGUAGGGUGCGAGCGUUAAUCGGAAUUACUGGGCGUAAAGCGUGCGCAGGCGGUUGGGUAAGACAGAUGUGAAAUCCCCGGGCUUAACCUGGGAACUGCAUUUGUGACUGUCCGACUGGAGUACGUCAGAGGGGGGUGGAAUUCCACGUGUAGCAGUGAAAUGCGUAGAUAUGUGGAAGAACACCGAUGGCGAAGGCAGCCCCCUGGGACGCAACUGACGCUCAUGCACGAAAGCGUGGGGAGCAAACAGGAUUAGAUACCCUGGUAGUCCACGCCCUAAACGAUGUCUGCUGGUUGUUGGGAAUUUAAUUCUCAGUAACGAAGCCAACGCGUGAAGCAGACCGCCUGGGGAGUACGGUCGCAAGAUUAAAACUCAAAGGAAUUGACGGGGACCCGCACAAGCGGUGGAUGAUGUGGAUUAAUUCGAUGCAACGCGAAAAACCUUACCCAGCCUUGACAUGUCAGGAAUGCUUCGGAGAUGAGGCAGUGCCCGCAAGGGAACCUGAGCACAGGUGCUGCAUGGCUGUCGUCAGCUCGUGUCGUGAGAUGUUGGGUUAAGUCCCGCAACGAGCGCAACCC
rnacentral:rRNA from 1 species